UACGUAAGGUGCGAGCGUUAAUCGGAAUUACUGGGCGUAAAGCGUGCGCAGGCGGUUCGUUGUGUCGGUGGUGAAAUCCCCGGGCUUAACCUGGGAAUGGCCAUGGAAACUGGCGAACUGGAGUGCGGCAGAGGGGGGUGGAAUUCCGCGUGUAGUGGUGGAAUGCGUAGAUAUCCGGAGGAACACCAGUGGCGAAAGCGGCUCUCUGGGGGCAACCUGACGCUGAGGCGCGAAAGCGUGGGGAGCGAACCGG
rnacentral:rRNA from 1 species